UGGGGAAUCUUGGACAAUGGGGGCAACCCUGAUCCAGCCAUGCCGCGUGGGUGAUGAAGGCCUUAGGGUCGUAAAGCCCUUUCGCCGGGGAAGAUAAUGACGGUACCCGGUAAAGAAGCCCCCGGCUAACUCCGUGCCAGCAGCCGCGGUAAUACGGAGGGGGCUAGCGUUGUUCGGAAUGACUGGGCGUAAAGCGCGCGUAGGCGGAUCAGGAAGUUGGGGGUGAAAUCCCGGGGCUCAACCUCGGAAUGGCCUUCAAAACUCCUGGUCUUGAGUUCGAGAGAGGUGAGUGGAAUUCCGAGUGUAGAGGUGAAAUUCGUAGAUAUUCGGAGGAACACCAGUGGCGAAGGCCGCUCACUGGCUCGACACUGACGCUGAGGUGCGAAAGCGUGGGGAGCAAACAGGAUUAGAUACCUUGGUAGUCCACGCCGUAAAACGAUGAAUGCCAGACGUCGGGGGGCUUGCCCUUCGGUGUCACACCUAACGGAUUAAGCAUUCCGCCUGGGGAGUACGGUCGCAAGAUUAAAACUCAAAGGAAUUGACGGGGUCAUAGCUGUUUCC
rnacentral:rRNA from 1 species